GGGAAUCUUCGGCAAUGGGCGAAAGCCUGACCGAGCAACGCCGCGUGAAUGAAGAAGGCCUUCGGGUUGUAAAAUUCUGUUAUAAGGGAAGAAAGGUGAUAGGAGGAAAUGACUAUCAAUUGACGGUACCUUAUGAGAAAGCCACGGCUAACUACGUGCCAGCAGCCGCGGUAAUACGUAGGUGGCAAGCGUUAUCCGGAAUUAUUGGGCGUAAAGAGCGCGCAGGUGGUCCUGCAAGUCUGGAGUGAAACGCAUGAGCUCAACUCAUGCAUGGCUUUGGAAACUGGAGGACUGGAGAGCAGGAGAGGGCGGUGGAACUCCAUGUGUAGCGGUAAAAUGCGUAGAUAUAUGGAAGAACACCAGUGGCGAAGGCGGCCGCCUGGCCUGUUGCUGACGCUGAGGCACGAAAGCGUGGGGAGCAAAUAGG
rnacentral:rRNA from 1 species